UUACAAUGGAGAGUUUGAUCCUGGCUCAGGAUGAACGCUAGCGGCAGGCUUAAUACAUGCAAGUCGAACGGUAACAUGAGUAGC
rnacentral:rRNA from 1 species